AGAGCGAACGCUGGCGGCAGGCCUAACACAUGCAAGUCGAGCGCUCGUAGCAAUACGGGAGCGGCAGACGGGAUAGUAACACGUGGGAACGCGCCCUUCGGUUCGGAAUAACUCAGGGAAACUUGAGCUAAUACCGGAUACGCCCUUACGGGGAAAGAUUUAUUGCCGAAGGAACGGCCCGCGUCCGAUUAGCUAGUUGGUGAGGUAAUGGCUCACCAAGGCGACGAUCGGUAGCUGGUCUGAGAGGAUGACCAGCAUCACUGGGACUGAGACACGGCCCAGACUCCUACGGGAGGCAGCAGUGGGGAAUCUUGCGCAAUGCGCGAAAGCGUGACGCAGCAACGCCGCGUGGGGGAAGAAGGCCCUCGGGUUGUAAACCCCUUUCAGUUGGGACGAAGCUUCGUCGGUUAAUAGCCGACUGGAGUGACGGUACCUUCACAAGAAGCACCGGCUAACGUACGCGCCAGCAGCCGC
rnacentral:rRNA from 1 species